rnacentral:lncRNA from 1 species
AACCUGACUCUUGUGGUGAGAGGUGAUUGUAAGUCAGGAGACUUUCCUUCGGUUUCUGCCUUUGAUGGCAAGAGAUGGAGAUGUCUGUGGUGGUGAUUACAGAAAACGUCUGGGAAGACAAGUCACUGUUUUUAUGGGAAUCGCAGGCUUGGAAGAGACAGAAGCAAUUCCAGAAAGAAAUUGGAAAUUGAAGAUUUAAACAAUGUUGUUUUAAAAUAUUCUAACUUCAAAGAAUGAUGCCAGAAACUUAAAAAGGGGCUGCGCAGAGUAGCAGGGGCCCUGGAGGGCGGGGCCUGAAUCCUGAUUGCCCUUCUGCUGAGAGGACACACGCAGCUGAAGAUGAAUUUGGGAAAAGUAGCCGCUUGCUACUUUAACUAUGGAAGAGCAGGGCCACAGUGAGAUGGAAAUAAUCCCAUCAGAGUCUCACCCCCACAUUCAAUUACUGAAAAGCAAUCGGGAACUUCUGGUCACUCACAUCCGCAACACUCAGUGUCUGGUGGACAACUUGCUGAAGAAUGACUACUUCUCGGCCGAAGAUGCGGAGAUUGUGUGUGCCUGCCCCACCCAGCCCGACAAGGUGCCCCGGGGACAGGGACGGGUAUGGGCAUUGUGUGGACCCUGGGGACUAGAAGAGGCCUCUCCCUGCUGAUCUGAGUGAAGAGCGUGGGAGUUUAGUCCAGCGGGCAGGGCUGCAUUUUGG